UCUCUCGUCACAUGCAGCUAGCUAAUUAGCUAUUCCCUUCUUCUAAAAUGAAAAAAAACUUCACCAGCUCCUCUUUCUCUCUUCAAAAAACCUCUUGUUUCACUCUCUCUUAUCAUCUCUCCAAUAUCGCUUCUGUUUUUUGAUCUUGAAAUGAUGGUUCUUCUUUUUUUCUCUUUGUGGGCCUCAAAGGAGCGAGAAAACAUGUAGCUAGAGUUUUACGUAUGGAAAAUAUAUGUGAAAUAGCGAUUGUGAUAUUGGCCUGGUUCACUCAGACGUGGAAAACCUACCUUUUUCUUGGCUUUUGCUUGGGUGGUGUUGUUUUGGUUUGAUUGAGCCGUGCCAAUAUCUCAGUGCUCUUUCAUUCUCUGAUAAGACCUUAUUAUCAGACUGCAACUAUAUAUCCAACAUCACGGACUUGCAGUUGUUAUGAUAUUAGUAAUGAAAUGAACAAGGAGCAUAUCCCAAGAAACAGCAGGAGAUCUAUCAUCAUCUGGUAGGAGCUGAUGAGCAAAUCUCCAGGGGCUUUGUUAACUCAAAAUAAAGGCAUGCAUGAUCUAAAAUGUUUUAGAAGA